rnacentral:rRNA from 1 species
AACGAACGCUGGCGGCAUGCCUAACACAUGCAAGUCGAACGAGACCUUCGGGUCUAGUGGCGCACGGGUGCGUAACGCGUGGGAACCUGCCCUUAGGUUCGGAAUAACUCCCCGAAAGGGGUGCUAAUACCGGAUAAUGUCCUCGGACCAAAGAUUUAUCGCCUUUGGAUGGGCCCGCGUUGGAUUAGCUAGUUGGUAGGGUAAAAGCCUACCAAGGCGACGAUCCUUAGCUGGUCUGAGAGGAUGAUCAGCCACACUGGGACUGAGACACGGCCCAGACUCCUACGGGAGGCAGCAGUGGGGAAUAUUGGACAAUGGGCGAAAGCCUGAUCCAGCAAUGCCGCGUGAGUGAUGAAGGCCUUAGGGUUGUAAAGCUCUUUUACCCGGGAUGAUAAUGACAGUACCGGGAGAAUAAGCUCCGGCUAACUCCGUG